UACGUAGGCAGCGAGCGUUGUUCGGAGUUACUGGGCGUAAAGCGUGCGUAGGCGGUGUCCUAAGUCUGUUGUGAAAUCUCCCGGCUUAACCGGGAGGGUGCGGCGGAAACUGGGAUGCUGGAGUGCGGGAGAGGUAAGCGGAAUUCCCGGUGUAGCGGUGAAAUGCGCAGACAUCAGGAGGAACACCAAUGGCGAAGGCAGCUCGCUGGGACGUGACUGACGCUGAGACGCGAAAGCGUGGGGAGCAAACAGG
rnacentral:rRNA from 1 species